GAGACAGGGUGGAGUCACAACGUUCCAGAAUGCCUUCCCAACCACAGCCACUUCGGGUCCAUGACUUCCAAACGUCUUCCCUUAGACAAUCUCUAGACAUAGUAAGGACAACUAGUCAACCAUGACUGACACACACCUCAAACAAGGCUAAGUGACUUGGAAAUGGCCACACAGCCAGGUUCAAUGUGGGAACCGGGACGUUGGUCUCUUCACACUGCAACAGAGCAGCACCAAGUGCCUGGGCGAGGAGCCAGGACUUCUUCCACGGGGUUUCCCCAGCGCCAAGCAGAGGAUAAGAGUCCAGUAACAUUUGCUCCAGCUGAGAUGGAAAAGCUGACAUCAUUCACCUCACAUGCCAUAAGAAUGACUUCUACCAAACGAUGAAUAAAACAUGAUUGUUUUACAUAAA